rnacentral:tRNA from 1 species
AAUUAAUUAGUUUAUAAAAAAUUUAGUUUUGAAGAAACUAAGAAAAUUUAGUUA